rnacentral:rRNA from 1 species
UACGGAGGGUGCAAGCGUUAUCCGGAUUUACUGGGUUUAAAGGGUGCGUAGGCGGAUUUGUAAGUCCGAGGUGAAAUCUCCGAGCUUAACUCGGAAACUGCCUUGGAUACUAUAAGUCUUGAAUGACGUUGAGGUUAGCGGAAUAUGUCAUGUAGCGGUGAGAUGCUUAGAGAUGACAUAGAACAUCUAUUGCGAAGGCAGCUAACUAAGCGUAUAUUGACGCUAAGGCGCGAAAGCGUGGGGAUCAAACAGG